AUGUUGAGGUAUGUGGAGAACGAGCUGUUAAAGAAGAGGGGCAAGACGAUUGAGGUGAACGACAAGGACGAUAAGGACGAGGUGGAUGAGCUCUAUGUUGUGCCGGACCACCUGAAGGUCAGGAAGAAGAACAUGGAGGAGAGCUCAACCCAGUGGACCACUGGCAUCGCUGAAGUUCAGCUGCCCAUCGAGUACAAAUUGAGAAAUAUUGAAGAAACCGAGGCAGCUAAAAAGAUGUUGCAAGAGAGAAGGCUUGCGGGUAAAACAAAAUCAGAUGCAAACAUUCCAUCAAGUUACAGUGCUGAUUAUUUCCAUCGUGGGAGAGAUUAUGCUGAAAAAUUGCGAAGAGAACAUCCUGAGUUGUACAAAGGUCAAGAUUCACAAGCUAAUGAAACUGGAGGCAAACCAACAGAUGGUAACAAUCCAGGUGGUCCACCUCCUGGACGUAGAGAAGCUGCUACCGAUGAAUUGUUGCUUGAGCGUUUCCGCAAGCGAGAAAAAUUCCGUGUCAUGCGAAGAUAG
rnacentral:rRNA from 1 species